CAGAUAAACAAAUCCCCAUUAAGACACUUAUCUACUUAACCACAAGGCCCAGGGAGCAGCCCUCUUUCCAGUCCUGGUCAGCUGGUUAUCAUACUGUUACCUCUGUGUACUUAACCAACAGUUGUGAAUUGAACCUGUAAAGACAUUAUUAGAUAAAGCUUACAGGCUGCUGACGCAAGCAUUCACGGUUUGACAUCUUCCUUUCCUAAUUUUAGGCGGGAUUUCAAUGUGUCCACCUGAUGAUCUGGCAUCAUAGUGCUGAUAUUGUCAGUGGUAAUUGCUGACUUUUUCCUUGGUGGUUUGUAUAACAACAAGAUGACUGAGAGGGCACCAGCGAGCCGACUGUUAUAAUGGUCCUGGGGGUUUGAUGAGUGUGACAGGGAUCAGUCACUCUCCCCGCAUGUGACAGAACAUGACAGUGGCCAAAGGAGAGGCUACUACAGACCCAGCCUUGGUCUGCCAUUGAAACCGGUUUGUGUGUUGACCAUAUUCCUGGCUGAGAUGUGGCCCUAGGCUUAACACGCUUGGCCGUUCAAGAUGACGGUAGCGGCAGAGACAGAGGCCCUGACCGGUCUUGGACCGCUCCAGAACACCGGCUCGUGCCAGUUUACCAUCAACCGGACACUAAUCGUCUCUCUACUGUAUCUAUUGUCUAUCCAUUCUCUGCUGUUAGCUCUCUGACACCACCGCCACAACCAGGCAGACAGCCACCGACGAAGGGCCUCAUGGGGCGACGAGAUACAGAAGAGCACCCUAAGAGAAAAAAAAAAAAAAAAAA